rnacentral:tRNA from 1 species
UUCCGGCAUCGCCAAGCGAUAAGGCAGCGGUUUGGCACCGCCACUCUGGUUCGAAUCCAGGCGCUGCAACCA